CACACACACACACACACACACACACACACACACACAUAUAUAUAGAAAGAAGAGGGAAAAAAUAUUGCAAUUUACAUGAGACAAUAAAUAACAUUGUGGCCAUAUGAGCUUGAAAUGUACAAGCCCCUUCUAGUCAGAUAAUACCACCUGAUUUCAAAUAAAACCAGAGUCCUAUUUGUACACCAAUAGGAAGAACAGAUAAACUCGCAGUGUACCCAUUCGUGACACAUGUAAAUACUAUCAAGCGAACUCACAGCCUGUGCUAAAAAAAUGCCCGUUGUUAGCAGGACUAAAUAUUCAAGCGUAACAGGAUAUGUCCAGGAUAAAAAAAAAAAAAUAUGAAGCUUCACAUUGGAAAAGGCGUGGCUUUCCUUAUCGCUCUCUUUUUAUACUGACAUUUGUUUAGCACGUGCCUGGUGUACAAGGUCGACAGACAAUAUUAUUUCGAUUAUUGGUAGUGUAUAAGAGACUGGAAUAAUUAGUGUGCCCAACUAGGGCUGAACUAACAAACAAAAUAAAAAAAUAGCAAAACUAUAAAAUAUAUUCGGGAUUUGUAACCAAGAAAGAGUUCAGUAUUCUGCUAACUACCAGAUCAUUGCCGUCAUAUUAACACAUGGCCAUCACAGUACUUGACAUUCACUUUACAACGAAAUAAAAUUGCACAAUAAGACAGAGCACCGCAAAGUAUUUAUCUACCAUUCUUGUUUUAAAUAGCAAUAUCCUACAUCUAGGUUUAAUCACUGGUUGUAAAUACAGGGGAAGAAAGGCUGUAAUGGGUUUAAUCCUGCAUAUUUCGAUGCGUUACAGAUCAGACAUGUCUUCCUCCAGUCAGAAUUUCUUAGCUUAUAGGAAUAUUUCUCUAUAUAGAAUUAUUUAAUUCUGCGCAGUCUGCUACGGUUCGCCAUUAUGUCGUAUAUAGAACCUAUUUUUAUCGCAUGCAGAACCUGAUGCGUGAAACAUGCAAUAAAACUGAAACGACUUUCCUUGGAAGUAAUCUACGACAAUUAUCAGCAGCUGUUUAACUUAAUUUUAAUCAUAUAUUGUGUUUUAUCAUUAUUUUUUUUAUUUUUUAUUAUCACCACAGAUACCCUAGCUUCAAUAGAGUAUUCGUUAUUAAUACCAUUUUAAAUAGCAGCAAAAGCUAUUGCAGCAUAAAGUUACAUAACACUAAAAGGGGUCUACCUCCCUUUACA